AGUGAACGCUGGCGGCAGGCCUAAUACAUGCAAGUCGAACGGCAGCACAGCAGAGCUUGCUCUGUGGGUGGCGAGUGGCGGACGGGUGGGAAUACGUGGGAAUCUGCCCAGUCGUGGGGGAUAACGUAGGGAAACUUACGCUAAUACCGCAUGCGCCCUUCGGGGAAAGCCGGGGACCUUCGGGCCUGGCGCGAUUGGAUGAGCCCACGUCGGAUUAGCUAGUUGGCGGGGUAAAGGCCCACCAAGGCGACGAUCCGUAGCUGGUCUGAGAGGAUGAUCAGCCACACUGGAACUGAGACACGGUCCAGACUCCUACGGGAGGCAGCAGUAGGGAAUAUUGGACAAUGGGCGCAAGCCUGAUCCAGCCAUGCCGCGUGAGUGAAGAAGGCCCUCGGGUUGUAAAGCUCUUUUGUCCGGAAAGAAAGCGCCGGGUUAAUACCCUGGUGUCCUGACGGUACC
rnacentral:rRNA from 1 species